UAGGGUUUUCAAGCUUUUCAAGCUCAAUAGUAAGUCCGUUCUAGCCCCGUUUUUCAAGUUUUUUACGAUUUUGGAAUCCCGGUAACUUGAUUAAGCUUAUUCUAGCAAUAAUUUAAGCUAGGGUUCAUAUUUGGAAAAAUACCCAUAGGUGAAAUGUGUUUAUUUUGAUGUUUUAUGGUAGAAUAUGAAGGCUAAAAUUAUGUUAAAUAACUUUUGCUAAGCGGUUUUAAGCAAAAAUGAAUAAAACGGCUUAAUUGGUAAAAGUUGUUAUUGUUCAUAACUAUGUGUUAGAGUGAGAAUUUGAUGUUGUCAUAGAAGGGAAAAAUGAUCAGCAUAUCAUAAAACAUAAGAAUAAGGGAUAAAGUUUAAUUCCCGAGCCUAGGGGCAAAAGUGUAAAUAUGCAAAAAGUUUAAGGGCAAAAUUGUAAUUUUUCAAAAGUUUGAGUUAAGGACUAUUUUGAAUAGUAAAUUAAUUAAAUAAGUAAAAUAUGAUGUUUUAGAUCCUGAAAAACGAGAUUUGAAUCUAGAAUGGGAGAAAAAUCGAAAAUCAAGAAAGUUGGUAAAAUGGCUGUUUUAGUAUCGAGGUAAGUUCAUAUGUAUAAUAAGCAUUAAUUCAUGCAUGUUUCAAUGUAAAAAUUGAUAUAUUUACUAUGAUUGUCGAGGUGUUGAAAGUAAGUAUAAUUAUGAUGAUUUAAAUGUUCAAUAUUAAUUCGACAUGGAAAUGAGAAAGUAUGUAAGUUUGUAUGUAAAUAAUACAUUAUCUUUAUUAUGUUUUUGUAUUUCAGCAUAUUUUAUGUAUUGUAGCUGAUUUUUGAAUCAUAAUAGACUAUUGGAAGUAUGGAAUCAAGUAUUAGAAAGAGAGAGAAAUCCCGGUUGAACCUUCGGAAAGAUUAGAUGAUACAGAUGGUAUGUAGCUAGGUCACAUGUAUGGUGCUGAGUGCACAUCAUGUGUACAAGAGAGCUACGAGACAUUAUGAUGUAGCUAGGUCGCAUGCGUGGUUCCAGGUGAAGGACACCAUGUAGACAAGAGAGCUACGAGAUAAACUGGCUAGGUCACAUGGGUGGUACUAAGUAUUCACCAUGUGUACAAGAGAGCCAAAAUUAUGUGCACAAUCGAGCUAGGUCACAUGAGUGGUGCUAAGUGAAGGCCACUAUGUGUACAAGAGAGCUUCGAUUUUAAAGGUGGGCUGUGUGCGAUACCAUCGCGUAUCUGUUAUUAUUCCGAAGCGUUCAACUGGGAAAUUGAUUAAAUGAAAUUGUGUAUGACUUUGUGAUGAUAAGUGUAAGUAUAGUGUGUAACUUAUGAGAAAUAUGCUCGAUAUGUGAUUGGAAAUUGGAAAGAUUGUUAUGGGAAAGUGAUGAAUACAAUUGAAGUGUGAAAGAUUAAAAUUGACAAUAAAACUGUUAUAGAUAGUGACGUGAAUCUAAAAAUUUACCAAAAAUAGUAGAAAUUGAAUCAUAGAUUGAAUGAGAUAUAAAAUUAGAGAUUAAUGAGUCUAUUUUUAUAUAACAAAAACAGAGCAAGCAAAGGAAUUCUAUAUUAUGAGAUAUUUGAGUUUUUGAGAGACUGGUUCAAAAUGACUACGUGAUCCCCUGUUUUGACUUGGAAAAAUCAUUAAAAAUUGUAAAAAAAUAAUUAGGGGAUAUAAUUUAUAUUCUUGAAAUCCUUAAUUAGUCUAGUUUCAAAUGAAAUAAAUGAGAACAUCCUUUGAAUUCUGUACGAGGAGAAAAUUGAUUCGUAGUGAAGAGUGGUCAGAAUAGUUGAGCAGUGAAACAGGGGUAACUUCAAUGAAUAAACUGUACUAAUUGGAUGGACAAAAAAUUCUGAAAAUUUUAUGGUAAGAAUAUAUGUGAAUCUAGUUUCAAGGAAAAUUAACGGUUUGUAAUUUGGAGUUUUGUAGCUCCAGAAAUAAAUAAUUUAGUUGCUGGUACCAUUCUAGACAGCUUAUUUUGAACCUGUUUAUGAUUGUAAUAGUGAAAGUAUGUGUGUUUGUGAUGGUAAUAUUCCGGGAACAUAUUGUGAAUUUGUUUAAAGUAUGAUAAUGUAUUGUUUAUUAAUAUUUACAUACUUACUUACUAAGCUAUAAUGCUUACUCCCUUCCUUUCCUUUUUCCUAUAGUGUAGCAGAUGUUAGCCUGAGUUGAAGUCGCUGGAGGUUAAAUCACACUAUCAAACUAUUGAUCAAUAUAUAAAGGUUUUAAAGUAUUUAAGUCUUUGGCAUGUAUGGAGACUCGUUUAAUUGUUAUUAAGUUGCUAGAAAUUGGCUUAAAAUACUGACCUAUGUUAUUUGAAGGUCUUUAUUGUAUAAAGUCAUUUAAUAUAGAUAGUCUUGAUUAUGUUAUUAAUUAAAUGAUGCAAUUUAUGAAGGUGCAUGCUUGCCUAUGUGUGUGGUUGAAUUAAAGCAUGAUAUGGGCCUUGUAAGCUCUUUUUAAGGGAUAGCUUGAAUGUGUUUGAAAAAGUUUUAAAUUAGAGUGAAAUUAUGAAUCGGUUUUUAUACGAUGAUUAGUGAUUAAGUCCAGUAAUGCCUCGUACCCUGUUCCGGCGUCGAACACGGGUAAGGGGUUUUACAGUUUAUACAUAUUUUUAUCUCAUGCUUAGUACAUUUAUGUAUGAUUUCUCCUUAGAUUUGGUGAAUUCCAUGCUCCUAAUCCUUUAAUUUCAUGUUUUAUACUUAAGUGAGUAUAAGAGAAUAAAAAGAGCAAGAAACGGGCCGAAAACGGAGAAAAUGAACUAACAUGAGAAAUCAACACGGCUUGGACUUCCUUACACGAGUAGUCCACACGGCCGUGUCUAUUUGGCAGAAUCGAAGCACGACUUACACGGGUAGACCACAUGCCCGUGUCUAUUUAACAACUUUAACCACGGUCUGAAGCAAUCGUACUAGAAAGGGGGACGUAGAGUAGGAGGCAAGGAAUUACUC
rnacentral:lncRNA from 1 species